AUAUUUUGUCUUCCAUUCUUCCAACUCGCAGGACCAGGAAGCAAGUGGCAAGACUUUUUUUUUUUUUCCAUGUUGCUAAAAUAAAGUCAUCCACAAUGAAAAUGGCUUACCAGUAACAGAUGGACU
rnacentral:snoRNA from 1 species